UCUCUCUCGUACACACACUAAUAUAAUCAUAUUCUCUCACUCAUUUUGGAGAAACCCUAUUUAGGGUUGACCAUACCCCUUCUCUUGAGAAAUGAGCCUCUCCUUAUUCUUCCACAGCUUUCUUGAACUGCGCCGAAUUGUACGUCGCCGCACCGGAGGCGAUGCAAUCGUAUGCGGUUCAAUAAAGCUGUGGGAAGAUACGGUGAGGCUCACCCGGAAUUCCACUUUCAUUGCAUGCUUUAUUUCCCCUUUUUCUUGCUCCAUUCAAUUCCUCCAAAUCCACAGUUGAUUUCUCGGUUGAUUUAAAAUUACUUGUUCUUGAUUUUUUUAAAAUUAAAAAAAAGGGGGGUUAUUGAAAUUGAUGUUUUUGAGAAUUAAUGGUGACAGGCCCUCAACCACACAAGAAGGAUAAGAGAAAAAAAGGAGAAAGAUCUGUGGGCUGUUUUGUUUGAGAUCUUUACAUCCAAAUAAUACCAAAAAAAAUAUGUAUAACCAAAAGGAGUGAGGGGUUGUAUUGGGUAGCUAUGAUUGGUGGGGACUGGUAAUUACAUAAUUUUUUAUUGUACAGAGAUGGGAAGAAUGGACCACAUAGAAUUGAUGAAAUGGAAGCAAGAGAAGCUAUGGAUGGAAAUGGCAAAGCAUGUUGCUGAAAAUGGGGGAUGCCUUUGUAAGUGCGAGGUAGAUAUAGCAUUUACCAAUGGUGAUUUCACCUUGGUAAGGGGUAAAAAGUCAAAAUGUUUGCAGAAGAAAACCAAACAAGUUGAAGAAAACUAGGUUGCCACCCCCGACCCCCACACAGGUAAAAAGACAUUCUAGUAGUAUGAAAACAACAAUCUUGUUUUGUCUUGUUAGGGCCCUAAUGCCUCAAUAUCAGAUACUAAUGUUCCUGCCCCUCCUCUUUAAUAUAUCAACCCCACUCUCUAUUGGGAUAAUCAACAUCUUAGUGGUAUCAUAUUAUAAUUAAUUAGUGCUGCUAACUUUCUUUUCUUUACAGCAAGGAAAUUAUUCAAUCAAUUAGUGCAUGGCUUGCUUUCUUCUUUUUGCUUUAAUUACCUCUUUCUGUGUGUGUGGUGAAAGAUCAAUAUAUAUGGGCAUGGAUGAAUGUAUUUUUAAUAAAUUAUCAAGUAUAGAAAUGUGUGUAUAUAAAUAUAGUUGGUUUUUUUUCUAUUAAAGUGAAAAGUAUUUGUCUG